UACGUAGGGAGCAAGCGUUGUUCGGAUUUACUGGGCGUAAAGGGCGCGUAGGCGGCAAAUUAAGUCAGCUGUGAAAUCUCCGAGCUUAACUCGGAACGGUCAGCUGAUACUGAUCUGCUAGAGUGCGGAAGGGGCAAUCGGAAUUCUUGGUGUAGCGGUGAAAUGCGUAGAUAUCAAGAGGAACACCUGAGGUGAAGACGGGUUGCUGGGCCGACACUGACGCUGAGUGCGCGAAAGCUGGGGGAGCAAACAGG
rnacentral:rRNA from 1 species